GCACCCACAAGUGUGCUUAGCACAGUCCAGCUCUCUCACUCUGUUUAGACAUGAGUAAUAUCCUGUUGUUUCUUGGCAACCCUAUUUUAUCUAUCUCCCAGUAUUUCUCAGGGAGUGUAUGCUGUACCCUCUGAGAGCAUGUAGCAGUGAGCAUGGUCACCAGAUAUGCCUGGGAGCUCCUGAGGCAUUGUGCAUGGAAUACUUCCGCUUUAUUAAAAAGAAAAGGAGGACUUGUGGCACCUUAGAGACCAACAAAUUUAUUUGAGCAUAAGCUUGCAUGAGCUACAGUUCACUUCAUCGGAUGCAUUCAGUGGAAAACACAGUGAGGCGAUUUAUAUACAUAGAGAACAUGAAACAAUGGGUGUUACCAUACGCACUGUAACCAGAAUGAUCAGGAGAAACCAAACACAACUGCCACUGAAGACAAUGGAGAUUAAAUAUGUGCAUCUCUGGAGACAAAGGACAAAAACAAUGGUUUGACCAAGGACUCCACAACCUACUCCAGCCCCAGAACCAGUAACCCUUGUUUCUAUACUGCUUCAUCUUUAAGCAGGUUGUUUACACAGGGAAGGAGCCAAUUUUCUAUUUUGUUAUAAAUCGCUACUUGUUUUGCUUUGCCAUUGUGCUCUGUUUCAUUUUCAAGAAAAUUUUCUUGGCUUACAAAAAUAAGAAAUAAUGUUCCCAAAGCAACAGCACAUUCACUACAGCUGAUACAGAUGCGGAUGUAUCCACACUUUCACAGCUCCUCAUCUUUGUUAUCCCACCCUUGCUACACCUAGCAUUUUUACCUAGCAAUGCUCUAACUUGUGCAAGUUUAACUUACUCCCUCUUUUGAAUAUUGCAGCUGAAUAUCAUUGUUCAACUUCAUGUUCGCCCAUUAUCAUAUUCAGCAGAAUUCUGGCACUUUCACCUAUACUUAUAAAGUGACAUGUACUAAAUCA